AUUACCGAGUUUUCAACUCCCAAACCCUUUUGUGAACAUACCUAUCGUUGCUUCGGCGGACUCGCCCCAGCGUCCGGCCGGCCCCGCGCCGGCCGCGGCCUGGAUCCAGGCGGCCGCCGGAGACCCCCAAACUCUGUAUUCUCAGUAUCUUCUGAAUCCGCCGCAAGGCAAAACAAAUGAAUCAAAACUUUCAACAACGGAUCUCUUGGUUCUGGCAUCGAUGAAGAACGCAGCGAAAUGCGAUAAGUAAUGUGAAUUGCAGAAUUCAGUGAAUCAUCGAAUCUUUGAACGCACAUUGCGCCCGCCAGCAUUCUGGCGGGCAUGCCUGUUCGAGCGUCAUUUCAACCCUCGACUUCCCUUUGGGGAAAUCGGCGUUGGGGACCGGCCGUAUACCGCCGGCCCCGAAAUGAAGUGGCGGCCCGUCCGCGGCGACCUCUGCGUAGUAAUCCAACUCGCACCGGAACCCCGACGUGGCCACGCCGUAAAACCCCCGACUUCUGAACGUUGACCUCGGAUCAGGUAGGAAUACCCGCUGAACUUAAGCA
rnacentral:rRNA from 1 species